CCUGACUCAUGGGAGCCCCAGAUGCUCAGUUCCCCUGCUGGCGUAUUCCCAGGAUCCACCCCCACCCAAAUUUAAUUAUCCACUUACCUGAAACAGACAGGGCUCUCUGAAGCAUUCUGGUGAUCCUCAAUGGUUCUCUGACUGAGUCCUAGCCAGCCCCACAGACCUCUUCACUCCGAAGUUCUCAAAGGGGGAUGCUGGAGUAGGGGAUGUGUGUUGAUGACUGCAAACGGACGUUCUCUGAACCACGGUUGUGGAGGCAGAAGAAUGAGGUUCCUGGGACAUCCUUGACGACCAGCGAGGUUGAAGGCUGCCCUGGCUAUGUGACAUUCUGUCUCAGAAAUUAAAAAAUUGCCCUCAGAAUCUUCUGAACUGAAGGCCACACACGACGUGGGGAAAGACAGCGGAAACAAGGUGGUACACACAGCAACCUUAUGAGCUAAGUACCGUCAUCUCCCAUAUCAGGCUCUGAGGUCACACCGUUGGUGAGUGCGCAGAAGCUGUACUGAGUCCAAAGGCCGCUCCUAAUCCCUAUUCCCGCCCACACACUGGGGACCUGGUGAGUGACUUCUUGGAAAGCCUAUGUGGCUUCUUUUGGACUCACUCUGCCCUUGUGCCUCAGAACAGUCAGAGCAUUCACGGGGCUAACUCACAAUUCUACCGUCAUCGGUCCAGCCUGAGACGCCUCCAAUCGGAAGUCAGACCGCAAACGGCCCAGCCGACGGUGUUCACUGGAUGCUGCUGUGGUCAUGUUAAAUUAUGCAUCUGUUAAUAGUGUUAAUGUCUGUUUUAGACGUUCAAGAUUAAAUAUGCUUGGUGUUUUUAA